rnacentral:lncRNA from 1 species
CUAAGGAAGAAGGAGAGAAGAAAGGGAGUUAUUACAUCAGAAGAGACACCAGAAAACCCAACUGAGACAUCAGAAGCUGUAAUCGAAACUCCAAGGGAGAUUGAUAUUCCAAAGAAACAAACCGCUGAGGAGAGCCAACAAAUCAAGAAGUCCCACAAAGCAUCAUCACAGUUUCUCAAACAAAACAAGUCGAAAUCUAUUCCACUACCUUUGAGGAACCGAGGAAGCAAGAAAAAACUGAAGCAGUGGAUGUGGAUUGGACUCAUAGUUCUGGUCGCCCUCGCAUUGUUCCUUCUCGGUAACGCAAAUCUCUCCUUCUCUCCCGAAAA